rnacentral:rRNA from 1 species
CCCGCACAAGCGGCGGAGCAUGCGGAUUAAUUCGAUGCAACGCGAAGAACCUUACCAGGGCUUGACAUGCACCGGAAACCGCCAGAGAUGGUGGCUCCGUAAGGCUGGUGCACAGGUGGUGCAUGGUUGUCGUCAGCUCGUGUCGUGAGAUGUUGGGUUAAGUCCCGCAACGAGCGCAACCCUCGUCCCAUGUUGCCAGCGGGUGAUGCCGGGGACUCAUGGGAGACUGCCGGGGUCAACUCGGAGGAAGGUGGGAUGAUGUCAAAUCAUCAUGCCCCUUAUGUCUUGGGCUUCACGCAUGCUACAAUGGCCGGUACAAAGGGCUGCGAUACCGCGAGGUGGAGCGAAUCCCAGAAAGCCGGUCUCAGUUCGGAUUGGGGUCUGCAACUCGAGCCCAUGAAGUUGGAAUCGCUAGUAAUCGUGGAUCAGCAUGCCACGGUGAAUACGUUCCCGGGCCUU